CAGUAGCCGCGGGAAUACGGAGGGGGCUAGCGUUGUUCGGAAUUACUGGGCGUAAAGCGCACGUAGGCGGCUUGGUAAGUUAGAGGUGAAAGCCUGGAGCUCAACUCCAGAAUUGCCUUUAAGACUGCCGAGCUAGCAGGUGAGAGAGGUAAGUGGAAUUCCGAGUGUAGAGGUGAAAUUCGUAGAUAUUCGGAAGAACACCAGUGGCGAAGGCGGCUUACUGGCUCAUACUGGACGCUGAGGUGCGAAAGCGUGGGGAGCAAACAGGAUUAGAUACCCGUGUAGUCCCUGUCUCUUAUAA
rnacentral:rRNA from 1 species